GAGAGGCAGAAAGAAUGGAUUUGACAGAGAGGAGUACAGAGAAACGUGAAAGAGGUAGAAAGAAUGGAUUUGACAGAGAGGAGUACAGAGAAACGUGAAAGAGGUAGAAAGAAUGGAUUUGACAGAGAGGAGUACAGAGAAACGUGAAAGAGGUAGAAAGAAUGGAUUUGACAGAGAGGAGUACAGAGAAACGUGAAAGAGGUAGAAAGAAUGGAUUUGACAGAGAGGAGUACAGAGAAACGUGAAAGAGGUAGAAAGAAUGGAUUUGACAGAGAGGAGUACAGAGAAACGUGAAAGAGGUAGAAAGAAUGGAUUUGACAGAGAGGAGUACAGAGAAACGUGAAAGAGGUAGAAAGAAUGGAUUUGACAGAGAGGAGUACAGAGAAACGUGAAAGAGGUAGAAAGAAUGGAUUUGACAGAGAGGAGUACAGAGAAACGUGAAAGAGGUAGAAAGAAUGGAUUUGACAGAGAGGAGUACAGAGAAACGUGAAAGAGGUAGAAAGAAU